rnacentral:rRNA from 1 species
GACGAACGCUGGCGGCGUGCUUAACACAUGCAAGUCGAACGGAAGGGCCCUGCUUUUGUGGGGUGCUCGAGUGGCGAACGGGUGAGUAACACGUGAGUAACCUGCCCUUGACUUUGGGAUAACUUCAGGAAACUGGGGCUAAUACCGGAUAGGAGCUCCUGCUGCAUGGUGGGGGUUGGAAAGUUUCGGCGGUUGGGGAUGGACUCGCGGCUUAUCAGCUUGUUGGUGGGGUAGUGGCUUACCAAGGCUUUGACGGGUAGCCGGCCUGAGAGGGUGACCGGCCAUAUUGGGACUGAGAUACGGCCCAGACUCCUACGGGAGGCAGCAGUGGGGAAUAUUGCACAAUGGGCGGAAGCCUGAUGCAGCAACGCCGCGUGCGGGAUGACGGCCUUCGGGUUGUAAACCGCUUUCGCCUGUGACGAAGCGUGAGUGACGGUAAUGGGUAAAGAAGCACCGGCUAACUACGUG